GACGAACGCUGGCGGCGUGCUUAACACAUGCAAGUCGAACGGAAAGGCCCUGCUUUUGUGGGGUGCUCGAGUGGCGAACGGGUGAGUAACACGUGAGUAACCUGCCCUUGACUUUGGGAUAACUUCAGGAAACUGGGGCUAAUACCGGAUAGGAGCUCCUGCUGCAUGGUGGGGGUUGGAAAGUUUCGGCGGUUGGGGAUGGACUCGCGGCUUAUCAGCUUGUUGGUGGGGUAGUGGCUUACCAAGGCUUUGACGGGUAGCCGGCCUGAGAGGGUGACCGGCCACAUUGGGACUGAGAUACGGCCCAGACUCCUACGGGAGGCAGCAGUGGGGAAUAUUGCACAAUGGGCGGAAGCCUGAUGCAGCAACGCCGCGUGCGGGAUGACGGCCUUCGGGUUGUAAACCGCUUUCGCCUGUGACGAAGCGUGAGUGACGGUAAUGGGUAAAGAAGCACCGGCUAACUACGUGCCAGCAGCCGCGGUGAUACGUAGGGUGCGAGCGUUGUCCGGAUUUAUUGGGCGUAAAGGGCUCGUAGGUGGUUGAUCGCGUCGGAAGUGUAAUCUUGGGGCUUAACCCUGAGCGUGCUUUCGAUACGGGUUGACUUGAGGAAGGUAGGGGAGAAUGGAAUUCCUGGUGGAGCGGUGGAAUGCGCAGAUAUCAGGAGGAACACCAGUGGCGAAGGCGGUUCUCUGGGCCUUUCCUGACGCUGAGGAGCGAAAGCGUGGGGAGCGAACAGGCUUAGAUACCCUGGUAGUCCACGCUGUAAACGGUGGGUACUAGGUGUGGGGUCCAUUCCACGGGUUCCGUGCCGUAGCUAACGCUUUAAGUACCCCGCCUGGGGAGUACGGCCGCGAGGCUAAAACUCAAAGGAAUUGACGGGGCCCCGCACAAGCGGCGGAGCAUGCGGAUUAAUUCGAUGCAACGCGUAGAACCUUACCUGGGUUUGACAUGGAUCGGGAGUGCUCAGAGAUGGGUGUGCCUCUUUUGGGGUCGGUUCACAGGUGGUGCAUGCCUGUCGUCAGCUCGUGUCGUGAGAUGUUGGGUUAAGUCCCGCAACGAGCGCAACCCUUGUUCACUGUUGCCAGCACGUUAUGGUGGGGACUCAGUGGAGACCGCCGGGGUCAACUCGGAGGAAGGUGGGGAUGACGUCAAGUCCUCAUGCCCCUUAUGUCCAGGGCUUCACGCAUGCUACAAUGGCUGGUACAGAGAGUGGCGAGCCUGUGAGGGUGAGCGAAUCUCGGAAAGCCGGUCUCAGUUCGGAUUGGGGUCUGCAACUCGACCUCAUGAAGUCGGAGUCGCUAGUAAUCGCAGAUCAGCAACGCUGCGGUGAAUACGUUCCCGGG
rnacentral:rRNA from 1 species